UCCUGUGUCACUUUCCCAGCUCAUCUGCAUACAGGUGGAACCUGUGAAUAUGAUCUCCUCUCUGCAAGGCAGGAGGCUACCAGCCGGCCUCCUCUCACAUGAGCCUUUUACAUGUUUCUUUUCGCUGGCAGCAGGUAAGGAGAAUGGAGAGAUUGGAAAGCAUGAGAAGACCUCAAGACACUGGUGCUGUGUGGAGCAGAGAGGGCCAAUGACAAGGAAUGUGGAUCACUGCAGGGCAGAGAGGGGCUCUGCUGAUAGCAUAGCCAGCAUGGAUCUGGAUUCUGGGAAAUCCUAAAUGAGCUUGGAGGUGGUUCUUCUCCAGAGACACUGGACAAGAGUCCAACCUGGCAGCCUCAUGAGAGCCUACCAGAGGAUGGUAGGAGCCCGCCUGGACUUCUGAGCUAUGUCUCUCUCUAUUGGAUCUCACUUCUAGGAGGCAGAACGGGUGUGAAAAUCAGAGGGAAGAGGCACCGAGAACACGCAUACUGGAGCCUCAGGGGCACCACCAGUGUGAAUGUGGUACUGGGAUUUGAACCCAGGGCUUCACACGUGCUGGGCAAGCACUCUACUACUGAGGUAUAUCCCGACCUGGCAAGGGACGAGGGGCAGGGACAUGGAGGAGAUCUGCCAAAGCCUACUGUGCUCUCUGAGGGAGCCUCCCAUGACGUCCCCAUCAAGCUGAGCACCCUGUUCUGAGCUUCCCCAGUCCUGUGCUGACUUCUGUCACUGCAUUUAUUAAAGAACUGGGAUCUCCUACAGCUGCUGUGUGUGCAUCUUUAGCUCAUCUGUCACAGCUUACUAUGGGAAAUGACCAGAGACCAAUUAGCACAGAUGUACAGGUGCUGUGGCAUACAGAGCAGGGGCCCUCGCCAGGUCUGGUAGCUCCGGGAAGGCUUCCCAGCACAGCUGGUAUUGAAGGGGAGCCUAAAAGUACUCUGAAGCAAUGCCUGGGGAAGAGAGCUAAAGAAAAACAGCGGAGAGGGAGGACAAAAGGUGUGGGAAAGGUACACAGUACAGCUGUCAGGGUCAGCGAGGGAGCCUGCUCCUGCCCAUCUGCUCCCUUACUGGUUCCCCAGGUCCCCAGAGAACCAUCUGGGCCUUAGAACUGGUACCCAAGAGACACAUGAUCACAGUGGCCUCACACGGGCCAGAGCCUCACC